rnacentral:miRNA from 1 species
GAAAGAGAGAAAGAAAGGGAGAGAGGGAGAAGCAAAGACGGAAGGAAAAUAGUUUUCUCACGCUGUAGGGGUGCCUCUUUCUUUUUCUGUUUGGCUACUUUUUGCCGCUGUUGAUAUUUCAUUAAAUGCUUUCACUGCCCCUGUCUUUUUCUUUCUUCUUUUC